GCCAGUGUGGCUUAGUGGUUUCAGCAUUGGACUACAACUCUGGAAACUAGGGUUUAAUUCCCAGGUUGGCC